rnacentral:lncRNA from 13 species
AUUUGCUAUUAGAAGAACCCACAUAACUCAGGCGCAAUACACACCAUGCAACAGAAGAAAGCAGCCUAGAUGGAAGCGGGACCUGCAAUGCCAUUGGGAAAAACAAAUCAACUAUACGGUGGAACUUUUGUUGACAUGAAGCCAAUUACAAAAUUCUGUGAGCGGCGACAUGACGGCGAAGACCAAGGAGUCUAUCUGAACAUGCCUCUGGACCCCAGUUCUGCCACUUCUCAUGUGACAUUUGACAAGUUGGAUGGCAGUGAUAAGCUUCAGCUUUUUCAGCUGUAAAAUGGUGCAGCAAUACUUACCUCAAAUAGCUGUUGCAAGGAUGACAUGAAGUGACAUGUGGAAAAUGCCAAGCACAGUUGCUGCCCAGUUAAUGCUGCGACCACUCCCUCCUUUCAAAGCAGAGGGGUUGACCACCACUGGGCAAUGUGUUGUGGCCUCAUUAUUUGUUUUCCUUAAUUCCAAACAACGGAUUAAAAUCAACUGAUAAAGAAACUUGAGUUUCAGUGUCCACUUUGUGAUUCAGAUAUUGAAAGGAACAUCUGCUUCUUAUCUCAAGUGAAAGUAAAUAAGUGUGAUAGUGGCAAGCACAAAACAAGUCAAGGAAUGACGUUGUAACAUCUCGUGAGCAUGGCAUGUCCAUGGCGGUUUAAUAUAAUAUUAUCUAAAUAACACAUCUUCCCCCUUAGUCAGUGAUUUUAAAGAUACUGUUUCAUGACAACAUGGCUGAAUCUUAAUAGCUACCAUGGAAAAAGACCCUAGUAACUCAUGACUCAAGAAAAGUUGAACUUCAUGUUUUACCAAAUGAUCUCUCCCUUGUGGUUACAACUGAGUAUCUGUAUCAGAUGCUUUAAUCUUCAGUCCAUCUCCUCCCUCCCCCCUUCUUUGAUAUGUCACAUUUAUCAUACUGUAACUGUUUGGCCAAAGGCAACCUCAUUUUAAGAGGGCAAAUAAGAGUAAUUGACCUGAUGAGAAUACUGAGAUGAGUUUAUAUUAGACAGCAGCUUUCAGACAGAAUGGAGAAAACGUUAUACAACAGAAACCUCUCUGAAUAUUUUCCUCCCGUCUAAGCAGUGAAAAUUUCAUUAUCAGGAAGAGACCCUCUGCAUACAUGCUCUCUGCCUCAGUCUCAGAUAACUUUGAUUUUCCUCUUAAAUGUUGUAUAAAUAUUGAUGGCAUUUAUAAAUUUCUAUGUGGUAGGGAAUUAUAUGUAAUACAUUUUUCAUUACAUUUGUUGUUAUCUUGCUACCAUGGUGAAACAAUUUCCUUGAAAUUAAGCACCAUAAAAUAUUUGAGAAUAUGUUACAGCUGAGCAAUUGAGAAAGACAGAUGUGAUAAAAUUAAAGAAGAAUGUGCACUGAUUUAGAAAACACUCGUUUCUUCAAUGAAUAAAUGCACUCAGUGCAAGGCUUUUAUUUUUUGC